rnacentral:lncRNA from 1 species
GCAAAGCAUCAAUCUGAGUGGUUCAAUGCAACCACUGUACUCCAGGCAGACACUCCUACUCCAGAGAAGGACAAUGGUAUGAUUUAGUGUAAUCAAACAAUUACAGUAUUAAACAUGGAAAGACUAAGUAAACAGGGGAAAAUGGCUGUAGGCUCUAACAACCAACUCAGAUCUGCUUACAAUUUUCUUAUCAAACAAUCAGGUGGGGGGAGGCUAGGGAGCCAUAGUAAAAAUAAUAUAUUAACCAUACUGGGCAAACGUGUGCAAUUCCUCAUCCUUCUCCUUCUUAUAAGGAUCAUGCAAAUCACCAUUUUUCCAGUGCUGAAUUUCCCUCCAUGCAACGGCCAGUUCCUCCUCCGGUGACAUCAUGCUACAGACAGUCUCCUCUUUGUCUCCUCGUCCAAUUCAGUGCUUUUCACAGAGAAGCAUUGGGGAUGGAAGGAGUAUGAGUAAUACACUUGUCCCAUUAAAUGCUUCUCAUAGGGAAGCAUUGACAGACACCAAACGUGACAUAAUGGAGUCUGACUUGGUCAUAGCACAAGUACCCUCUAGUGGCUGGCAGGAAAACAGUCACUAGAGGGGUGUUUAGCUCUCCAAUGAAACCAUUACCAUUUCUAAAAAAAAUAAUAAUUUUGUAUUGCAUUACUAAAACGACAGGACCACUGCACCUAGACCACUUAAUUGACAUGGAGUGGUCUGUGUGCCUAUAGUGGUCCUUUAAAUGGACACUCUAAGCACCAGAGCCACUACAGCUUAAUGCAGUGGUUUUUGUCUAUUAGUACACCUCUAGUGGCUGUUACUCAGACAACCACUGAAGAAGCUUUGCAUUCCUGUAUUCCUUGUACUCCUGCAAUAUUUUCUGUACUAACGGUGAGUGCAGUAGCACAAGGGUAUGUAUCCUACAACUGGAUUGGCUGAUGAUCUCACAAGAGACUGAGAGGUGGUCACAGAGAUACUGAACUGCAUGGUGAGUAAAUUCUUGAUUUUUUAUUUAUGGGAGGAACAUAAUCUAAAAGGUUAGGAAUUAACUUUAACAUUAGAAAGAUGUGUUUGUAUUGCUAACGUUAGAGAUUCCUUUAAGCCAAUCAAAUUAUAGGAGUACUCCGACAUUCCAAAUACAAACCUGUAUUUCUAAUGUUGCAGUGUUCUCAAGCCUAUAUAGAUUGAUUGCCCUCCCCUGUAAAAGUUCAAUAAUGUGAUUUCUUUACUUUUCAUUUCCACUUUGUGUCGGUCUUACCACAGCUGCUCCCCAACCCCUGGCUGAUAAUCAUAGAGAUAGAUUAGCUCAAUUAAAACAAAAGACUGACUGCUCAUUUCCAACUUUGCCUCUAUAAGCCAAACAUAACAUUUUAUCAGAAAUUAAAGGGUUGCAGUUUCACUCUAAAAACGAUGGUAAGUCUAUGUCUAUGAGAAUUUUUACACCAUAGUGAUAUAUAUUGUUAUGAAAUACAGAAAGGGGAGUAUGACAUUAUAGCCAAAUGUUAUAUCUUGCUCUACCAUAUAUGAGUUCCCCUUUUUAAAAGGUAUGUGGUAGACUUGUGUGUCAAGCUUUUUCCCCCCCUUUACUUCUACAGUUCAGCUGAAGUACCAUAUUUUAUAAAUACAAAAAAGGAAAACUGCACUCCAAGGACUUAUUGUUACAAAAUAUAAAACUUAGAUUUUCUUUACAUGAUCCAAUAAAAUGAUGACGUUUCCGCUCUCAAUUGAGAGCUUUCAUCAGGACAUCAGUAUAAAAUAGACAAAUUGACACAAUGUCAUAAAACAUCCCACACUAGCUAUCUUGACUUGAUUGGCAUUGUUUCAAUUUGUCUAUUUUAAGAUAAUCACUUAAAAAGGUAAUGAUUUAUGCUACAGUUGCAAAUUUAAUAAUUUGCGAUUGAUAUUUUAUUGUUGUUAGCUUUAUUUUUUUCUUAUGCUUUUUAUUAUAAGUUUUAUUAUCUACUUCAGUGUGGCUUUAACUUUAGUGCCCCACCGUUUUAGUUUUUUCUAUAAAUUGUCUAGUAUGGAUGAAACGUUAACAUUUGUUUUUGCCUAUGGUGGCCUAUAGUGUCAAAAUUCCUAGCAUAGGUCUUGCUAGUUUGGUAUGCACAAACAACAUCAUAAAAAGCUAAAAUUAUUCUGAUUAUACUCCCAGGAGGGUGAGAAGUGCAGAUUGUCAAGAGUAAAUGGCAUAAUAUAGAUAAUAAUAAUACUGUGUGAUUUUUAUAGCUCUUUUCUCCCUGUGAGACUCAAAUCACUUUACAAAUAUAUAAAACAAACAUAAAAGUUAAGAGUUUCUGAAAGUCAGAUAAGCUGACUGAAUGCCUGAUAAAAGAGGUGGGUGUUUAGCUUUUUUUAAAAAUGUCUGUAAGGAUGGUGUCUCUCUGAUUGAGCAAGGUAAAGAGUUUCAGAAUGUGGGGGCAGCAUGGCUGAAUUCCAAGGAACCUGAGUUUGUCUUUAUUCUUGACACCGAUAGGAGAGAUUUGUUGGCUGACUGAAGUGAGCAUGAUGAAAUAUGUGGUGUCAGGAGCUCUUUCAGGUAUUCUGGACCCUGACUGUUUAAGGUGUUGAAGGUCAGCAGGCAAAUUUUAAAAUAAAUGUUUACCAGUUAAUUGGAAGCCAAUGCACAGAGUGAGAGGACAGGUGCUAUGAGAGAUGAACGAUUUUUGUUGGUCAGCAAUCCGAUGCUGCACUUUUGUACUGUCUGUAGGUGAUGGAUUCUUUUUUCUGGGAGGCCCAAGUAGAGUACAUUACAAAAAUCUAGAUGAACGGGCACAAAUGCAUGGAUUAAUGUUGGCAUAUCAUCCGGUGGGAUGAAGUGUUGUAUCCUGGCUAUGUUUCUUAGAUGAAAGAAGACAGAUUUUAUUACAGAGAAAAUCUGUAGUUUAAAUGAUAGUCAAGAGUCAAUCAGCACUCUGGACUUCCUACCUCUUUUGGACUAAUGAGUUCAGAGCCUCCAAGUUCCAGGCCGUUGGGUUAUCAUGAGGUAAUUUUGUUGCCCAUGGUCCUCUGAACAAGAGUAACUCUAUUUUGUCAGGGUUCACUGUUAGCCAACUACCUUUCAUCCACUCAAUGAGUUUCGUUAAACACCUGUUGAUGAGGCAAUACAGGCCUUUAGUAUCAGCAAAGGAAAAGUAGAUUUGUGAGUCAUCAGUGUAGCAAUGAUUAUAUUAGGCAAGUGAUGUUAUAGCUUGAUAGAUGGGACUCCAGUUGAGUUGACACUACUUUUUUCAAUUAUUUCCCCCCAGAAAUGGAUGGUUGGAUACUGGUCUGUAAUUUGCCAUGCAGCCUGGGUCUAGUGAAGAUUUAUUUAGGUGGGGUUUUACCACUGCUUCUUUUAGAGAAUAUAGGAAGUUUACAGAUUUUAGUGAACACUGCACAAAUUUUGUGUUUUGCAUAUGCAUAUUAGAUGAGCUGGAGCAGGUACUAAGCCACAAAGCCUUUGGGGCAACACUUUUGAAUGCUUGUUUUAACCUCUUCUAUAUUCACAUUUAUAGAUGUGACCAUAAACGUGGGCAAUCUGGCAUUCCAUUGUAGUGGUUCUGGUGUAUAACUGGUUGACCUGCUGUGACAGAGGCUCGAAUGGAGGAAAUAUUGUCUGUGAAGAAAACUGCAACUUCUUCACAUUUCUCCUGAGAAAAGUUGGUGGGAUAUGUGUCACGUGCGUGGGCUAUAGGCCCAGCCGAGACAGUGGGGAGAGUGUGGAAGUGACAGAGUUAAUGACACCAGACCCCUGGUUACCUAUUGCUAGUCCCAGCAACCACUCAAUUAACCCCUGCAAUCCCUUCUACACUAUCCCCCUUAGUACUACUGCCACCACCAAGACUUUUAAACCCGGGCGUCUUAGGUUACCCCACACACAGGAGAAUUAUAGUAUCACAGUUCUACUUUUACUGAUAAAACAUAUAUAGUUAACCCCUUUUGGUAACGUGUUUACCUGAGCUUUCCUCUGGAGAGUGAAGCUCAUAGAGAACAGAGACACAAGCUGAUUAAGUAAACAUUUAAUCUGACAAAAGGAUUCACAGUGCUGAGUACAAAAUACAGAAAUAAAUGACAUACAGAUAACAAAUUGCAAAACAGUACAUAAAAUAAAAUAGGAGAAAACACAAGAAAUUCCUUACAUAUAUUUACCCCAUAUAGAAUUCUUGUGGGAGUCUUAGAUGGUAUAGAUCUCCUAGAAGUUACUGACAAAAGAAAAAUGAAUAACUGACUUCCCUGGAUAGUCCAACACCCUCAUAUAUCUAAACUAGUUGUUUCUCAGUGGGCAGACCCCUGGGGGGGGAUCAGAGGGGGCUGGUCUGGCAGUCUAUUGCCCACUCUAUGAAAUUCCUUGUGUCCAGCUCUGGUGAUGGCUAUCUAGAUGUUUUAUGGUCUAGGCCUGGUGCAAGAUCAAAGACCACAAUAAAUGUCAUCCCAAGGUUUACAAAAAAACUACUCUUAACAUAUAUAAACACACAUCAAACACCAACUCAUGCUUUUGGCAUGACACCUCCCCCUUAAGAUGGUGGACAGAAAAAUUCAGCCACAGGCUGAUUUAUCUGUCUACCAUUAACCCUCUAGUUGCCGAGACAGGCCAUCUGCCCUUUUUGUGCUGGGCAGUGAAAUUAUACUGUUGGAGGAUAGGGCUCCAAUGGAGCAGUUUAUCAUUGUUACCUGUCACCUGCAGCAGGUUGUGAUCAGUCCAUACCACAGCUACACCCUCAACAAACAUGCCUGAUUUGCCUGUUUCAAUUUCCCAUCGAUCUCUGGUAACAUCCCUUAAACCACACCCACUGCGCUCAUGUAGUAGCUGUAAGGGGAAGAAACCAAUGGAUUUCUGCAGCACUCCCCGGUAAGCACACAAAAAAGCAGACAGAGAACACUCCCAGGAUAGAUGUGCUGUAUCAACACCCAUCAUCUCUUUCAUUUUGCGGUCUGUCUGCUGGGCUUGUUGCACUAUCAGACUCUGAACCUUUGGUUCACAAUCAGAAAGUUGCUUAGGUGUAUGCGUGAGUUGUGAUAAACUGACAAGGUUCCUGGUUCCUCCAACAGUAUGUUUCCCUGCAGCCAUCCUUCCUGGACCCACAGGCUGAGUCUGUCCGUGCCCCUCACUUUCACUCCAGGUCAUCACACAUACCGAACUUUGGAAACUGGCUAAGCCUGCCGCAGAGUAAAGCUCACACACCUUCUGCCCUCCCUCAUAGCCUUGCUGUCCCUUCACAUUUUCACCCAGUGCAUCACAUACAUCUGCUUCAGGCACAUAUUGGCACAUAUUUUCAUUCAGCCCCCUCUCGCUGGAAGGCUUUUCCCAUACAUUUUCACAGGACACAUUUGACCCCCCUUGAUCAGAUACAGAAUUUUGCACACACUCGCAUAAUUUCUUCUCCAAGGCAGGCCAUCCUCUCGCAAUCUCACAUAGCCCCUCAGACUCUGCAGCCGUGACCCACUGCUGACUUGUUACCACUGCUGACUUGUUACCCUGGCUCUCACCUUCCUCCUCUCCCUUACUCUCUGACAUCCCAGCCUCACAGUAUUUUAAUACAGGCACAUCACUACUCACCCCUAUCUCACAUUUGGUAGACAUCACUGGUUCAGUUACAGGUAGAUCUUUAUCCACACCCUGCUCUCCCUCCCAGCAAUCACACUUCACAAUGUCUCCCAAAGUUUCACACAAUACCUUAGGUGGAGCAGUCAGCCCUUCUGGCUCACAAACAGUGUCCGCUGGAGCAUAGUGACAGAGCAUCCUGCCCAAAUCAUUCCCCAACAGAACAUUAACAGGGAUAUCCUCUGAAAUCCCCACUUCCCGCAAACCUUUGCCCACACCCCAAUCAAGGUACACACGUGCCAAGGGCACAGCGGGACGCACACCCCCAAUUCCUUUGAUGGACAUGGUCCUUCCAGGGAUUAUGUCCUCCGUAUUCACCACUUCAGGGCGCACCAGGGUGAAGGAAGCUCCAGAAUCUCUCAGUCCCAUGGUCACUCGGUCACCCACAAUUACACUCUGCAGGUUAUCCUCUCGUUUCCCCACGGACCCACCCACAAGCAAUACUGAUGGUGCCCCUCCACGGACUGGUGAGGGCAUAUUCCUAGUGGGGCAAGUCCUGCUCAGAUGACCAAUCUGGUUGCAUCGAAAACAACGGCGGGCAUCUGACUCACUUGACAUAGCCCCGGCUACGCUGGCAGUCGGCGGUGAAGUUCUCACUGCAGAUCUUACAAGUGGUGUUUGAACUGUAGCUUCUCUCCAGGUCGAAGUAGCAGCUGACACAAGUCCACGCCUGGAUGUGGGUGCAUGGAUGUCGGCAUAGUCAUCUGCCAGUUCUGCAGCAGCCCUAGCAUUUUUUGGCUUUCUUUCCAAAAUCCACUCUCGUACAUUAGGGCUCCGGGUCUGCAAGAACUGCUCCAGGACCAUUAAGUCAUUAAGGGCUUCAUAGGUAGUAGCUUGUAUUCCUGUUACCCAUUGCCGGAACGUGGUUUCUAAUUGUGCAACAUAUAGAAUGCAGCUGGAUGAUGGGCAUUGCUGCAUACUCCUAAAGUUUUUCCUGUAAGACUCAGGAGUAAGGUUAAAAGUUUUUUGCAAUGCAGAUUUGAUUGCCUCAUAGUUGUUAUCAGUCUCUGGGGGAAGGGACACAAACACAUCCAAGGCUUUCCCUUUCAAUUGUGGAGUUAAAUAUCUGCCCCACUGGUCUGAGGGUAGUUGAUGCUGCCUGCAUACUUUCUCAAAACUUUUUAAAAAUACAUCCAAAUCUGUCCCUUCUUCGAGGGAAGGAAAAUCAUCCUUACGGAGCCUACGUGUGCUGGACUCUGAUGCAUUGCUGUUCAGUGAGGACUGAAGGGUAAAUUGCAGUUUAGCAAGUUCCAGCUCAUGUCUCCUUUGUGCCUCCCUUUCUGCAGAUUCCCUUUCUGCAGCCUGCUGUUGGAUCAUCACAUGCAGGGCCUCCUGAGGAUUUGCAGCCAUCAGUUGCCGAAAUAAAUCAGUUGAGCAAAUGUCCUUAAUGUUUUGAGGGGUACAACCACCAGGCAUUUCAGUAAGCAACACUCCUGCAGUAGUAGGGAGCUCGGUAACCCUUUCAGUGUCCGUCUCUGGCUGGAAAAUAUGGCUGUCAGCCUCCACAAGGUCAGCAAUAAGUUGUGCCUUAUUUUUGCCAAAAGUUGGUAAAUUCUUUUCUUGGCACAACAAUUCCAAGGCCUCUUUUGAUUGUUUGCGAUAGGCCUCCAUAUUCACAAAUAGGAUAGAGAAAGAAAAACAAAAGAUGGGAGGGGAGAACUGUUUUGCACUUUGUAUGUAUUUCAAAUCAGCACUGAGCUUGGUCUUUGGAAAUUACACAAAAACAAGUAUGCAAUUUCUUUUAGUGCUAAGACCCCCUUUACAGGUAAAAUCUAGCAAGCACUAAAAAUCUCUAAAUAUAUCCCACUAGCUGCCGCCAGUUUGUCACGUGCGUGGGCUAUAGGCCCAGCCGAGACAGUGGGGAGAGUGUGGAAGUGACAGAGUUAAUGACACCAGACCCCUGGUUACCUGUUGCUAGUCCCAGCAACCACUCAAUUAACCCCUGCAAUCCCUUCUACACUAUCCCCCUUAGUACUACUGCCACCACCAAGACUUUUAAACCCGGGCGUCUUAGGUUACCCCACACACAGGAGAAUUAUAGUAUCACAGUUCUACUUUUACUGAUAAAACAUAUAUAGUUAACCCCUUUUUGGUAACGUGUUUACCUGAGCUUUCCUCUGGAGAGUGAAGCUCAUAGAGAACAGAGACACAAGCUGAUUAAGUAAACAUUUAAUCUGACAAAAAUGGAUUCACAGUGCUGAGUACAAAAUACAGAAAUAAAUGACAUACAGAUAACAAAUUGCAAAACAGUACAUAAAAUAAAAUAGGAGAAAACACAAGAAAUUCCUUACAUAUAUUUACCCCAUAUAGAAUUCUUGUAGGAGUCUUAGAUGGUAUAGCUCCUAGAAGUUACUGACAAAAGAAAAAUGAAUAACUGACUUCCCUGGAUAGUCCAACACCCUCAUAUAUCUAAACUAGUUGUUUCUCAGUGGGCAGACCCCUGGGGGGGAUCAGAGGGGGCUGGUCUGGCAGUCUAUUGCCUACUCUAUGAAAUUCCUUGUGUCCAGCUCUGGUGAUGGCUAUCUAGAUGUUUUAUGGUCUAGGCCUGGUGCAAGAUCAAAGACCACAAUAAAUGUCAUCCCAAGGUUUACAAAAAAACUACUCUUAACAUAUAUAAACACACAUCAAACACCAACUCAUGCUUUUGGCAUGACAAUNNNNNNNNNNNNNNNNNNNNNNNNNNNNNNNNNNNNNNNNNNNNNNNNNNNNNNNNNNNNNNNNNNNNNNNNNNNNNNNNNNNNNNNNNNNNNNNNNNNNGCCCCUACCUGUGUGGUAGUGUGGCCGAGCCCAGUAUAGUCCGACCGGUACAGGAGACAGCUGCUCUCUGUACCGGUCGGACCAAUAGAGGGCUCGGCCACGCUACAGAGAGGGAGUGACAGGAGAGAGCGCUCAGCGCUUCCCUCCUGUCAGNNNNNNNNNNNNNNNNNNNNNNNNNNNNNNNNNNNNNNNNNNNNNNNNNNNNNNNNNNNNNNNNNNNNNNNNNNNNNNNNNNNNNNNNNNNNNNNNNNNNCUGGAUAAAGGAUUGCGUUCUCUAAGGGUAGCCACAUUGGUGGCUUGGGGCGGUUUAGGGCUUCUAGGCCCUGUGCUAGGACUGAUGCUUUGUAGUAAGCCUUUACGUCAGGUGCGCCUAGUCCACCUUUGUUCGGUGAGAGCCAUGUAACUCUGCGUGCCAUUCAUGGGGGUUUUUUCUUCCAGAUGUGGGAGUUGAAAAUGGAUUGGAAUUUCUUGAGGAGCGUGUCUGGUAGCGCAAUAGGAAGGGUGCGGAAUAAAUAUAGUAUAUGUGGCAGCGCCAUCAUUUUGACAGUCUGCACUCUACCCAGCCAAGAGAUUUCCAGUGGUUGCCAUUUGUCCAAUUGUAUUUGUAGUCUGUUCAUUAAGGGUAAGUGGUUUUCGCAUGUGAUUUUAGCGGGAGAAGCGGUCAGGUUGACCCCCAGGUAUUUUAAGGAUGUGUUUCUCCAGUCGAAGGGGUGGAAGCACCUGGGUUUUGUUGGUGUUGUUUUUAUAGUAGGAAACCUGUCCGUAAUGUGUUAGCAGAGACAGCAAUGUCGGGAUGGAUCUUUCAGGGUGUGUGAGGAAAAGCAGGACGUCGUCUGUGAAUAGGGUUAAUUUUUGUGUACCCGCCGGAGUGAUGAGACCCUUUAUCUCUGUGUGUUGUUUGAUGUGGUGGAUGAGCAGUUCCAAACAGAGGAUGAAUAGCAGGGGAGAUAGUGGACAUCCCUGUCUCGUUCCAUUACUUAUUGAGAAUGGCUCUGAUAGAAACCCAGUGUUGAAGACCCUAGCGGAUGGGGCACUGUAUAGUGCCAUAAUGGCCCCCAUGAACGUGUGUGGGAAGCCCAUUUUGUGUAGAGUUGCUUUUAAGUAGACCCAAUUUAACCGGUCGAACGCCUUUUCGGCGUCGAGUCCUAAGACUACCCCCCCUUUGGUUGCUAGAUCUUGCCCAACUGAUCAGGUUUAAGCAGUGCCUCGUAUUAUCCCCUGUCUGUCUACCGGGAACGAACCCCGCUUGUUCUGCCGAUACUAAUUCUGUAAAGAGAGGUUUUAUACGGGAUGCGAGGAGUUUAGCAUAGAGCUUGACGUCCGCAUUAAGGAGUGAGAUAGGCCUCAAAUUCUCGCAUUUAGUAGGCGGUUUGCCUGGUUUGGGUAGUGUGACAAUAUGUGCUUCUAACAUUUCUUUUGGCAUGGUCCCGGUUUCUUUAAUGUCGUUGAAUAAUGAGGUGAGGAUAGGGGUCAAAAUCUGUGCUAACUUAAUGUAAUAGUAGUUUGAGAAACCAUCUGGUCCAGGUGCUUUGUGUUUCGGAAGGGACGCUAUUGCUUUUGAGACCUCCUCUUCUGUGAAUGGUCUAUCUAGGGCAUCUCUUUUCAGUUGCUAUAGGUGUGGGAGCUCGAUAUUGUGAAGGAACCCGUCUAUGGAUUCGAGUGUCGAUUGGGCCACCGCAGGGUCAUCUUUUAAGUUGUACAAUUUGGUGUAAUAUGUGGCUAAUGUGUUCACUAUGUCUGUGGGGUUGUAUAUUUUUAUAUUUUGUUGUGAUUCAAUGUAGGGUAUCUUCGACUGGAGGCGUUGGGUCUUUAGUUUGUUGGCCAAGAGUUUACCCGCUUUGUUUCCUUGUAUGUAGUGUGUUAACCUGAGAGCUCUCAUACUCCUCUCGAUGUUUUGUAGGGAGAGUGCAUUGAGGUCCCUUUGUAAGCGGGCAAUGGUUUUGGAUCAUUUAGUAGAGGGGUUUUGUUUGUUCUCCUUUUCUGCUACAGACAGUGCGAGGGUUAGCCGUGAGACCUCCUCGUUAUGUUUCCUCUUAUUGCGUGAACCAAUUUGUAUUAGCGCACCCUGACAACGGAUUUGUGUGCUGCCCAUUAGGAUUGUAGGGAUACGUCGUCGGUCGCGUUUUCCCUAAAGUAGAGGGUCGCGGUCUUGUGGAUAGUUAGCAAGGCACCGGUAACAUCCAACAGACCUUCAUUUAAUCUCCAUUUACCCCUCCCUCGAACCGGGUAUAAGCUGAUGAAGGUGGCGGUGACUGGGGCGUGAUCUGACCACGUCCUUAAUCCUAGGUCUACUGCAGCUAUGUUUGAUAGGGUCUGUUUGUCAACUAAUAUUAAGUCAAUACGUGAGUAUGUCGAGUGGAUCGGGGAGACGUAAGUAUAGUCUCUACCUGUUGGGUACGUAUUGCGCCAUGUGUCGUAUAAGUCUAGUUCGAAUGCUAGGUCAGAUAGUGAUUUGCAAUUAUUGCGGGCGGCGGAUGUUGGGUUUUUUUUGUGGUCACGCUUGAUGUCUAACAUGGGAUCUAGGCUGCAAUUGAAGUCACCGCAGAUUAUGGUGUGGCCUUGUUUCAUUGUAUCUAAUAUUUUAAGCGCUCUGCUUAGGAAGGUUGCCUGGCCGUCGUUGGGGCAUAUAAUGUUGCUAAUGUUAUGGUGAUGCCGUUAAGUGUGCCUACCAGUAUUAAGAGAUGCCCUGCUGCAUCUGUGUGUGAUACGCUUGGUUGGAAUACCCAAUCUGCGUGAAACAGUAUGGAGACCCCUUUAGAUUUGUUCGGAGAGUACGCGUGGAAGGCUUGGGGGUAGUGGUUGGUAUGGAUGUUAGGAGGGUUGUGGGUGCAAAGGUGGGUUUCUUGUAGGCAUAUCACUGCCGCCCAGGAUUUGUGCAUGUCCCGGAUUGCCAAGCUACGUUUGUGGGGGCUGUUCAAGCCUUUAACGUUCAAAGAGAAAAUCUGGUCGUGGGUUGGUGCGCUUUUGUGCAAGUGUGCGGGGAUUGAAUUUCUUUGUUGGGCUCCGAGGGCCUAAAUGGGCCCCUAUUUACUUUGGGGGCUGAGCGGGGGUGCCUCUGGAGAGUUCUCGGUGGAGACUGUGGCCAAACCAUCCGAGGACCAUGUCCUCGCCUUCUGUACAGUUUGUAUGGGAAAGUCGGUAUGAGUAAAUGUCGGAGUGGGAAGCAGGGAAGGGGAAGGGUAAACAACAGACGAACCCGAAAAACUUGGGAAGAAAAUGUAUUACCUCUGCUCCCAGCAGAGUUUAGCUCCAAAGCCGUGUGAGGGGGGUCCCCACUCUUUUCCGGUGUGGGGGACAUGGUGUGACUUCCACCAGUGUGUGGCCCUUGGUACCCAUUAUCGGCUUUGCAUAGCGCGUGAGGAAUUGCCUGAGUCCUCUGUGUUGCGUGCGUUUUUUUUUUUAGUGGCGUGUCUAACGGCCUACAUGUCGUUGGUUUUAGCAUGAAGCUUUGCUUCUCCUCCCAGUGACCACCUGGGGGACAUGGGGGCUUGAGUCUCGUGUGUUGGGUCGGAACAUGUCGAGUGGUCCCCAUUCCUCUGGGCAUGUUCGGGGGGCGCUAUAUGUGACUCUUUAGUAGUCAGGGCUGCGGCCUCGGCCCCCACGAGUGAUGCCCUCUCUUUCUUAAGUGGUGAAGUAGGUCGCCCCUGGUGGCCUCCCGGGAGUUCCCUGUCAGUUGGGAACAUAUCGCCCCCCCUUCCCUCAUCUGUGCUAACCGGUGUAACGUAAGUGCUGGUUAACAUAAGUUUCAAUCACAAACAUAUAAUGACAACAAUAACAUGUGGUAAGCUUCAUGUAGGCUCAUUAAAAUCGGAAAGCGGUGCUUUUGCGGCUAGUACUCUGUCCCAGCUGACCGCUCAGACAUUGAUUGUGAUUGGGGAGUAAGAGGGUUUUCUACCAUGGGGGAUGAUUUCUAGCAGAUAUGGGCGAAUUAGCAGUAAGAGUGGCAGUACUGACACUUGGUGUCUACUAGAUAUUCCAUAGCAGGCCUGGAAGCCUAACGUGGGCUAGAGGAUCUGCGGGGCUGUUGGCUGUAUGGGCCGGUUGUUAAAUGUACCUGUCUCCCCUGGGGUCGUCCCGGGGAUUCCCUGCGGGCCUGGGACAUAUUAGCCUCCCUUUGCCCACGUCAGUACCGACGGCCAGCUCUUCGAGUUUUAGCUAGUGUUAGUGGUCAUCACAGACAUAAAGUAUUAGCUGUUGGCCGGUACCUUGUAUCAGGUAGGCACAGAGUUGUCGUUGAGUAGUACAUCUGGGGAUUGGCGUUCUGGGCCUAACGGCCGCUUUAACGGUGGCGGAGGCUGGGGCGAGUGGGGAUUAUGCGCCCUGGGGGAUAACUCCCUGCGGUUGUGGGAAAAUUAGCUAAAGCUGGAACGCUUCGCUCAACGGUGUGUACCCCACGUUACUCCGGGCUGGGCUUAGAAGUAUGAGCGUGGGCGGAGGGCCCUUGCACUUAUUAAACAUAUCAGCCUAUUCUGUUGUAGAGACCCUUCUAAUAACAAAUAGUCUAUACAUUUACACCUUCUCGCCUAGUGCAAUACAAUAACAUUGAACGUAUAUCUAACACAUGUGAUACUCAAAUGUCUGGCGAUGAGGUGUUUCAGUCCCGAGAAAGAGGGGCUGCAAGGGCGCCAGCCAUCCUCCACUCCAGCAGGAUUUUCGUUGGAUAGGCGCAAGCAGGGAAGGCCUGACCCUGGGUAUGAUGUAGGCCCCAUUCCUUCAGCUUUGCCAUGCCUACCUCCAGUUCCAGAAUUGGUACAGUUCUGUCUUGGUACCACACCAGCAAUUUUGUUGGGUACCCCCAGCGGUAUGGGAUAUUGUUGUUCCAGAAAGUUUUUGUCACAUCUACGAAUUCCCUCCUCCUCGCCAUUGUCGUCGCGGAGAGGUCAGCGUAAAUUUGAAUGAGUUGAUAAGGUUCUGGCAGUUUGGUGAGUUUCCUUGCUGCAUUAAGGAGUUGCUCCUUCGCUUUGUAAUAAUGGAAACGUGCUAUGGUGUCCUUGGGGGUGUCUGCGGUAAAUCGGCCAGUCUUGGGAGCCUGUGUGCUCGAUCGAACUCCCAUGCAGUAACUUCAAUUUGCGGUGCCAGAGCCUUGCAGAGGGCUGUAAGAUAUUGAGGUAGCGCCUCGUUGGUGAUUGUGUCAGCUAUGCCCCUGAAUCUCAAGUUGUUACGGCGGGAGCGAUCGUCUAUGUCCGCUAGUUUGUGUUUCAAAACCGUUUGUUCCUCCUCCAGCCUUUGUAGUUUGUCGACCCCAUCAUUAUGGGCAGCGCAGAGUUCUUCAGUUUUAGUUUCGAGGUGGCUAGUACGGCCUCCUAUGUCUGCGAUGUCUUUUCUCAGCUCGUUUGUGAGCUGGCGCAAAUCUGAGCGGAGUGAUGACUUCAGGGUCUGAAGCAUAGUAUGUAGGCUUUUGUUUGUGACAGGCAUAUCGUCUAUUGCCUGCAGUUCACAUUCGUGGUCCGUGUUGCAUUCUGGCGAUGGCAGAUGGUCCACGUGGCCGUCGCCAUCUUGUGUCAGCCGUGACUUAUCUUUUUUGCCAUUGCGUACCAGGUCAGUUAGCUUGGUCUGUUUAGAAGGUGCCAUGUCGCUCUUUAGGGUAAUCCCUGCUCGUUAUCGGGGUCUGCUGUAAAUUUUUAGAUGCUCAUUUGUUGCUUUGGGCCUGGUGGAGUACGGAGCAAUCACUGCAUGCGACUGCUUCUCUCGGCAGUCGGCCACGCCCCCUAGACUUGACUUUUAAUAUCCAUUUAUAUGUAUUCAGUACAGGGAGAAUGAUCUACUUAUGUUCCACUUCUAGAUUUUUUCUUUUUCCUCUUUGCUAAGUUAAACUCUCCAUAUUUUUGUUUGUUUUGGACUUAAAAAGCAUAGAAGUUAAAAUUAUUUGUUAUGUAUAUAUAUAUAUAUAUAUAUAUAUAUAUAUAUAUAUAUAUAUAUAGAGAGAGAGAGAGAGAGAGAGAGAGAGAGAGAGAGAGAGAGAGAGAGAGAGAGAGAGAGAGAGAUUGCAUAAUCAUAGACACGGAUUACUUUUAAUUUUCCUUUUGUUUUGGCUUCAACACUUAUUCAACAUUCAUAUAGAAACUUAAGACUUAUCUUUUGAGACACUAUUACUUUUUUUCCCCGACCACAAAUUUUGUAUAAAGCUAACAUGCGUCAAGACAUAUACCAGAAAUCUUUAACACCUUUAUAUUUGAGUAAACAUUUGGUGGAAACCAACAAGAAUAAGUAAUAGUAUUUUAUGUUACUGUUUUGUAGUGUAUAAGGGCUUCAGAGAAGGAUCUGUGUGUAGGAUGCAGGCAAUGAGAAAGAUUACAUAGUAAGAAGUUAUCAGACUCUUUAUAUUAAACAAACAAGUAAUGAAAGCUCAUUAAUACUGCAGUAAAAUCCCAUCAGUAAAUCUAGUAUUCAGUGCAAUGCCUACAGAGAACAAGAAUGCAAAGCCUCCAUGAUUACAAAGAAUGAAUUUUGACACAGCUGGGCAACUGAGGCUGGCUCUAAAAUUAGAAAGUUAUUCAGAAUCAAAUAAGGUCCUCAAGGAAAGCAAACCAACUUACUCCAGCCACCUGCCAGACACUCUGCAAUAAAGUAGUUUACAAAGUACACUUAAAGCGGUUUUGACACUUCUGAGUAUUUUAUAGUUACAAUCUUUACGAAAUACCCAUAUUGAUUGCAUUGGAAUUGCAUUGAAAUUUUAAUGCAAUUAAAAGAUCUCAUUAGGCAAAACAAUACUUUCUCUGCUGAUACAUGCCUAUGUUAAAAUAUGACAAAAACUGAGUUUCUACUGUCAAGUUUUGUCAUCUCCCACAUCAGUCAUUGUAAGUUCUAGAUUUCUGUGUUGCACAAGAGUAUGGCAGUGACGUGCAAUUUAUUCAAAGAUCCUUAAUAGUGACAGAGUUGCUUUCAAAUCCUUUUGUGACUAGGGCAUUCACCAACUGACUAGUAAAGUAAAAAAUUAGAGCUCAAUUCACUCCAGAGCCAAAAUGACCAUGAUUAUGACAUUACAAUUCUGCUAAUUUAUCGGUGUAUUUAAAAAAUAAGAGGCUCUCCUAUCACUUCUGCUGUAGCUGAACAAUGAUAGCCUUAGAACGCUGGGUGUCAAAAUGCUCAACAAGGCUACCCUUUGAGUGUUGCAAGUGAGGGAGAGCCAUCCGCCCAGUUAUAUGAACUGUGAUUACACAGAGGUGCAUUUCCCACAAGGUUACUGGGCCAUUGCCUCAAGACAGCAUUCAGUUAUCCCUUACCAACCAACCCAAGCAUGUGGUCUUCACCCCCAGGAGGCUUAGAACACAUGUAAUGCUCCCAUAAACGUCGCAAGGUGUUAUGAUGGCAUCACUACACGGGAAUGAGCAAUACCAGUAGUCUGCAACUACUGAAGUUGCAGACCAGAUAAUGUACACAUUGGACCAGCAAGAACUAGUAUUUCCUUCUAGCUGGUCCAAGGUCGGCAAGACAGAGCGGGGAAUAAACUAAAGUUUUGUUUUUAAAAUAUCUUCCAACCCCACAAACAUACCCUACAGCCUUUAUCCUUCCAAACAUUCUCUACAAUUCUUGUUCCUCCACACAUCCUACUGCCUCAAUUCCUCCCACACAAACACUACACCUCACAUCCCCCCUAAACACAAACACUAUAGCGCAUAGUACAGCCCUAAUUCACAUGCACACAAACAGUAGUGUGAAUGUGAACAGGGGGCUGGAGGGAGUUUGCUUUGGGGGGAAGGCCAUGCACAGAACACUACUCUCUAACCCUAGCAGGCACUAGUGUACCUGCACAUUGUUGAUGGGGCUUUCGUAGGGCUGAUGCCUGCUCUAGUGCUGUAGUAAUUGGUUGUGGCAAGGAGGCUCCUGGGAUCUCUGUAGUCUUGUGGUGUCCAGCUCCCCUGUGCACCCUGUACAGAUGCUGCAGCCAGGAUGUGACAUCACCUGAGCCCUGGCAUCAAUACAGAGCUACAAGGAGUUUGGUAGCAAUAAUAAUCAAAGAGAUCCCAGGAGAAAACCACCAGAUUCUACAUGUCAAGUUAAGAAAAGGGGAGGCUGUGUGGAACCCACUGUAAAAAAUAAAUAAAUACAUUUAAAUGGUGUAUAUGUUUCUAUGUGUCUUUGUAUAGGAAUGUGUGUAAACAUGCAUAUAUGAGUCUGUGUGUAAAUGAAUGUAUAUCUCAAUGUGUGUUUGUGAAUGUGCUGGAUAUAUGUACAUAAAUGUGUAUCUGUAUGUUUAUAUGGGAAUGUAUAUAUGUGUGAAUAUGAAUGAGAGUAUGUGCGUGUAAUUUCCUUAAAAUGGGGUGGGGAGGGUGCAAACAGCAGUCUGCUGGAAUGUUUCUGUGAUUGUGAUUUGUUGAGAAUUAAUAAGAGAAUUAUAUAUUUUAGAACUAAGCUAAGAAAAUAUGUAAAAUGCUGCAUCUUCAAGGCAGCUUUCUCAGAGUUGUCAAUUGAAUGUUAAAGGUUUCCUGUGAAAAAUAUGUAGUAUUUACACGAAUAAACAUGAAUAUACGAAUAAAACAUUAAACAAGAAAAUGUAAUUAAUCAUCUUGAAUAUUUUGUCUCUGCAGGACAUCCAAAAUCUUUUCAUUUUCAACUUGUUAGAUUUGCUGCUGUAAUUGGUGUUUUCCUGAUCUUUUUUGUAAUCAUCAAGAUUGGUAAGUGUUAGUAGAUUAAUGUUUCUGAAAACCUGAAUAUUUUCUUUCUAAAACCAAUCUACUAAGAAGAAUACAUUUUUUUUUUUUAUGGAAAAGAAUGUUGUAAAUCUGAAUUUGUUUAUACUAGAGAUAGGUGGUUGUAAAUAAUUGUUCUAAUUACAUAAACUAGUUGUGUGACAGAACACCCCAUCACUUGUUUUAUUCUUCUCCUGCCAAACUAACUUGGUUCCCCUUCCGUUCGCUUUUCUGUACCCCAUUGUUCGUUUCCCAAACUGAGAAAUGCGUUCCCCUUUUAUACCCCACGAACCCAGACAACACCCUGGCUCAUUAUCAUCAAAGGAAGUCAUUAACUUGAGUGCGCUCUCUGGUCAAAUGACCGACACAUGCUUUAUGGGAUGACGGCCAAACAAAGGCAGCGGUACUUUGUCGUCGAGCACCUGGAACUGAUUUUGGCUACUCCAACUCGCGAACACUGGUGAACUUGUACCACCACCUGUUCCUCACUCAUGCCAAGCCAGAAGAGCACUCUUCCGGGAAAAUAUUAAUUCAUUCGCUCGCUAAGAGCCAGGGGGAGUCUUCGGUCUGAUUCACACAGGAACUCCCGAAAGUUGACCGACUGAGGCCUCUUUCAACCUGGAACUGUUUUGGGCUGCAAACUUGUGGCCGGCCGGUCAGGACUAUAUGGCAAUUUCUUUUCACUGAACUGAUCUGAGUAUUAUUUGGACAACUUGGGCGCUUAGAUCCGAACUAUCCGGGGAUAUAUCAUUUGUGGGGUUCCUGUGAAAGUUGGAUGUGAUUUUGGGGUGUUUUUCUAUAUUUUAUGUAUGGUUCCCUGUAACUGAGAGAUAAUUGAGUUACCAACCUUUGACUCAAUUAUCUCCCAUACACAGGGACAUCUGGUAGGAGCUUGUGUUCUUUUCUAUGGAUACCCCAUGCUCAAGGUCUGUGUAUAAAUUCUGUGUACCCAUACUGAAUAAAACCAGAUAUACUCCUAGCAUUAAGUCUCGACUAAUGUUUGGGAUAGACCAGAGCUGCGAGGGAGAGCAAGGAGGCAGUGAGGAUGGGCCAGGCCGGAAGUGCUAGAUCCUAACUCCCAGCAUGUCCACUGGACCCCAGGGAAGCCACCCUCCUGCAAAAUGUAAGGAAAUUGGAGGGUGGCUGUAUUAAACUGGUGGGCAGCUGUAUUAAACUGGAGGGUGGGUUUAUUAAACUGGAGGGUGGGUAAGUGUAAAUCUUGCAUGUGUGUGUCAGUAUUGCUGUCUGGGUGCAUGCCUGUGUGUAUGCCUGUGUGUGUCAGCAUGUCUGUCUGUGUGUGUGCCUGUGUGUCUUUCUUUGUGUCUGUAUGUCUGUCAGUUUGGUUCUGUGUGUCAGUAUGUCUCUUAGUGUCUGUCAGUAUGUUUGUCAGUGUGUGUCAGUAUGUCUGUCAGUGUGUGUCAGUAUGUCUGUGCCAGUAAGUCUGCCAGUGUGUGUGACAGUAUGUCUUUCAGUUUGUGUCUGUGUGUUUGUAUUUCUGUCAGUAUGUCUGUGUGCGUGCAGUAUGUCUUUCAGUGUGUCACGGCUUACCUUGGUUGCAGUCUGUAGCGCAGAUAUGUUCGCUCACCCUUGCAAAUAAACAUGGUACAAGGUGAACAGAUAAGAAGCCACCUGGACUGUGAAUCUGUGCACAGGCGCUGUGCAGGAAAGGUGCUCCAAUAUGCAGUACAGACAAGGUCACAACAGAAGGAUAGUCACGGGUAAGCUGAAGUCAGAGGAAGCCAGAGGUCAGGAUAAACGGAGAGUGGAGCCAAGGUCAAAAGCCGGGGUCAAUCUUGAGAACAAGUUCAGGAGACAAGAAAACAGGAACUACACACGAUCACCAGAGUCAAAGAACUGACUGUUCCAAGGGCGAGGCAGUGCUUAAAUACCCGGUUGAUGAGCGAUCUGCCUCAGGUGAAGCACAGGUAAUAGCCACAGAAGAAGUCCAGCCCCCAGUGCUGCAGACAUAGCCAGGUAUAACAAGGAUAUAAUUACUCAAAAUAACAAAAUCUGCUGUGACUUAGAGGCAGUAUAGCAGGCCCAGGACAUGAAGGACCCAGGAUCAAAUCACCUGUGUGGCGACCACGACUGACCGUCUGGAUUUCACGGUGAGAACGGUCACACAGUGUGUGUCUAUGUGUUACUGUAUGUCAGUAUAUGCAUAUGUGCCUUUGUAUCUGCACGUGAUAAAGAUUGUGUGUAUUUGCAUUCAAGCUUCAACACUACAUAAAAGCACACUCCUUCAUUGAAACGUCAACACUACAUACAAACAUGCCUUUGUGUUAAACACCAAAAUUAUAUAUAAACACACCCCUUCAUUCAAAAACAAACACUACUCAGAAAUGCAUUGUAGCAUUCACAUACUAAAAAAACACACCCCUCCAUUCUCACAAACAUACCCCAUACAAAAAUAUGCUUACAUUAAAACACAUAAACACUGCUCAGUGCUAAAUACAACUGUGCAAGCAGGCAAAUGGUAGAGCUCCAUCUACCUUUUGAUAGAAAGGCCCAAACAAAUGUUUGCACAGGGGGGCCCUCUCUACUUUAGUUCCACCACCGCAUUGGGGUAAAGGGUGUGAUUGCAUGCCAGGGAGGGGGGAGGGGGCUCAGGGUCCAGGGGGCCCUAGCAGGCGGAGAAGGAACAUCAUAGUCAACCCUAGGCUAAUAGGAAGUCAUUAUUUUCUAAACCUUCCAUGUAGAGAAUGUUGACUUGGGAUGUUGGUAAUAUCAGCCCCACCCUAGCCAAAUGAGAAGGAGUAAUAAGCAUAAAUUGUGGCUUGGAGCAGGCACAGAUUGGACCCGGGGGCCACACAUUGUCCAUUGGUCAAAGCUAACAGGGGAGAUCAGGGGCUUGAAUAGCACUGCUAUGUUCCAUGAGGGCUGGUGGGGAGAUCAAAGUAUUUAAAUCUGGCAGGGGGAAGGAUCCGGGGGCUCUUGCCUGUAGCUCUGCCAUCAUUUUCCUUUUGCAAGCUUGAAGCGUUGCUGCGUUUGUCACGGCUGUGAUCUGACAAAGCACAAUGCCAGAUCUUGCAAGAGUGAACUCCAUCAAUAGUAGCAGCAGGCUAGACUUUACUAAGCACCACCAGUGCUUGCAAUAUCCCCUCCGAAGCCAAAGGUAAGAAGGGAGAGGGCAUAUAUAGUUUAUUUAUAAUUAAAAUAAAUAAAAAUUUUGCUUUGCUCCCACCUAACCACCCCCCACACACAUUGCAGCCCCCUAUGCACACACAUUGCACAUUACAUACACAUUGCACCCUCACAUACACAUUGCAACCCUCUCACACACACACUGCAUCCAUCACACACACUUCACCCUUCACAGACACAUUGCCACCCUCACACACACACUGCACCCCUCACACACACAUUGUAAGACACACACACACACACACACACACAUACACAUUGCACCUCCACACACAUUGCACCCCUCACACACACUGCAUGCCACACACAUAUUGCAUCUCUCACACAAACUGAAUCCCUCACACACAUUGAACCCCUCACUCACACACUGCACCAUCACACAGAAACACACACUGCAUCCCACACACACACACACACACACACACACACAGUGGACCCCUAUACACUAGAUCCCAUAUGUACACUCUAUCCCUUAUACACACACUAUACCACUUACACACAGUUCAUUCCAUACACACACUACAUCCCUUAUACACACUCUGGAUUCCCUACACACACUCUGGAUCCUCUACACAAACACACACUAGAUCCCCUAUACACACUGCAUCAUGUAUACACACAUACACUACAGCCUCUAAGCACACACUUUCUACAUCCCACUGGUUGCCUGUCAAGCCUCUUCUGGGAUAUGGAGCGUCCAUGAGCCCCACUGAGCUAAACCCUGCUGUGCAGGGCUGGCUCAUUGGCUUAGAGUGUCAUCUGAGAAAACGGUUGGACUACUUACCAUGGCAGGAUGCUAUAGAACACUUGGCACGAUAACCACUAUAGCAAGCUCUAUUGGUUGUGGUGUUUUUUGUGUUCUUUUAAAUAAUAUUAUAGUAAAUGGUCUUACUGUAGUUGCAUCCAUGUGAUACAAUUUAAAGACCAGCAAAACACUGAUUGUCAGGUUCCAAUAUAAACACAAAAAUACAUUUAUUUACUAUUAAACUAAAGUAACUUGAAAGUUGCAUGAAAAAUAAUAAAAAUACUUUCAAUUGUCCCAAAUCAAGUCUACUAUCCUUGAUAAUUGGUGAAUCUAACAAUUAUUUACACUAAAGGUUAUUAAAAAAAAAAAUGGUAACCUAUAAACAUAUCAGACUCAUACAAAGUGGCAUUACUUUGUUUCAGCCACUAGAGGUCAUAGGAAGACAACAAUAGGAAGACAGCUAUAGCAAUACAAACUCGAUAAACGAUAAACUAACAGGGUUAUUUACUAAACACCUGAUUUUGUACUAAUGGAGACAAUCCGGUGAAAAUAACCAAAUUCCACCUGCAUUAGCAAUUCUAAUGUUUACUAUGUGGUCAGAAUUCGGUUGGCCCAAGAGAAUCUGUAGCAAUUUCCCAUAUACAUUCGCUGUCUGAAUUAAAAUUGGUGCUUUUGCAAGAAUAAUUUGAAGUACUAUCUGCCUGCUGGCAGCCAACUGACAAACAGUUAAAAAUAAUUCUUGGCUUGGCAAAGCCAGCUGCCACAUUAAAAAAUAAAAUAAAAAAUAAAUAACAAGGCUAUGGGGGUCAAUAAGACUAAGGCUAAAACAAAAAUGGAGGUUAAACAACUCUCUAUGCCCCUCCCUCUCCCCCCUAUCCCCCCCCGCCAUACUUUUUUAAGACUUGACAUUAGGUCUUUCCACUUUAAUAUUAAUAUUGGACACCAUCCUGUCGCCCAUAGGUGGGGGCAAGUGAGGACCUUAGAUCCUCCACUCUGGUUAUUAUAAAAGCCUCCACCUGCUAACAUAGGAUGUCCCCCACCCAGGGCCAGUACAAGACUAUUUUUCUAUCAAGGCAAGACUAGCUACUUUCACCCCUCCACCCAAAACAAAAAUUGCAAAUUUUCUGUGUCUCUUUCUUCCCCCAGCCCCUCUUUUUGUCUUUUUCCCUCAAUCCCCCUUGUGUGUCUCUUUCUCCCCCCAGCUCCUUUGUGUCUCUCUCCCCAGACACUUUGUGUGUCUUUCUCCCACCAGCCCCUUGUGUGGCUCAUUGUUCCCUCAGCACCUCUGUGUGUCUUUGUCCCCCAAUCUCCUUGUUUGUCUCUUUUCCACUUCCCCAAACCCUCUGUGUGUCUCUUUACGAGCACCUCUGUGGGUCUCUUACUCCCCCAGGACCUCUGUGUGUCUCUUUGUCCCAGACCCUUUGUGUCUCUUUCUCCUCCAGUCCCCUUUUUGUGUUCCUCUUCUUGUCUGUACCCCUUUGUGUGUCUCUUUGUCCCCCUGUCCUUUUGUGGUCGCUCCCUCCAUCCCUUUGUGGUCUUCCCCAGUCCCUUUGUGGUCUCCCCACACCUCUUUGGGGUCUCUCCCCGUCUGUACCAACUCACCUCCCUCCAAUAUCAGGACACCAACCUGUCGCCCAUAGGUGGUGCAGGUGAGGACCUUAGAUCCUCCACGCUGGUUAUUAUAAAAGCUUUCACCUGCUAACACAGGAUGUCCCCCACCCAGGGCCAGUACAAGCCUAUUUUGCGAUGACGGCAAGACCAGCUACUUUCACCCCCCCCCACCCAUGGAAAAGUCACAGACCACAGUGGAUGAUCUUCUAUUUCCUCUACCUAGUCUGCAUCGACAAGUUACAGACCACAAUGGAGGAGCUUCUGUUUUCUCUACCUAGUCUGAUAGGAAGCUGCUCUUUGCUCUCAGUGAACAUUUGUCACUGUCUGAACGGGUAGAGAAGCUCCUCUACCGCAGUCCGUGAUUCAGCCAUGCUACAUACACUCUAAGUGACUACCUAGUUCACCUAGCAGUUGCCUGGCCUUGCCCUUACACCCAUUUUGACAUGUUCCCACCAGUUUGCCAAGUCAUGGGACAGGGGGUGGUCAGUAAUCUGUCCACCCCUAUUACAUAUUUAAAACUCCACCACCUGAUGCCCACUGGGUGGGCUAUGUCCCUCCCUGUUAUUUUUACUGACUAAGCAGCAGUGGUGGUGUUGCCAGCGGGCAAAUAGUUCAGAUUUUUUUUUAAUCCAGGCCCAGAUUUAAAGUUUGAGGACUUAAUUAAUUUGGUUCGGAUUUCAGCCGACCAGCGGCGUUUGGUCUGACUGAAAUCUAGACCAAAUUCAGGUCCAAAUUUGGACACUGUUAUAUUGCAUUAACAACAUCUACAUCAUUCCAGCAGCAUUUUGAACACUGGUCGCUCUAAACCGGCGUAAUUUAAUAACGCUGAAAUGCCUUCAUUAUUCCUGCGUCAAAACCAAUGACAGAAAUUAGUAUAUUCCUGAGACUCCCUCAAGUGCUUAAAUAUCAAGAUCCAUAUAUAAUACAGAAUGCACACUAUAACAACCACAAUGGUCAAGUUCAAAACUUUAAUAAGUAGGUAAAUUACAAUAAAUAACAAAAAAUAUAAAUAAAGUAACAGAAAAAGAGGCAAAUAGUAAUCAAAAGUAAUAUACCCAAAUCUUUUAAGCUUCAAGGCAGAAACACAAGUCACCAACUCCCCUCAAUGUUUCAGCACCAACUGGUUGCCUUUAUCAAGGGUAUGUCAGAGAACGUGUUACCAUUGUUCUGAUUUCUGGUUUACUGACUUUGGCUUGAUCUUGACUACUCUCCUUUCUGUAAUCCUUGACCCUGGCUUGGUUUAUCAUUAUUGCUACUUACUUCGAUCCCAGACCACAGUUAUUUCUUGACUUUGCUAUUACCUCUUUACUACUUUUCUAGAUUUGCAUCUAGCCUGGCCAAUUCUAAGUAAUGCCAAUAUGUCCUUUCUCUUUUCUACCUUAGCUAAGUAUGACCUGCAUGUUGGGCCUAGUAUUAUUCUGACAUAAAAGACUAAUUCUUUUGAGUUUUAUAGUCUAGUAUUUAUAAUAAUAAGCAGAUUAGGAUUUCAUUUUUAGAAUAAUAACUUUUCAGAUUAUUUUAAUAGGAUUAAAACAAUCGGGUCGGGGGGCGGGGCCUAACCGCAGAGCUGUGCAGACGCUCAUCUCAGAAGCUCCUGCUAAACCGGGCACUUAAUGCUAAUAUUAACUGCCAUACAGGCACUUAAUUGUGACCCCAAAGCUACCACUCGAGAGAGGACACCGAGGUGCAGAGAUCGGUACCUCUCAAGCAACGAACCGAGCACACAAUGAGGCCUACAAGCAUGGCAGGCGCAGGGGAGGCGGCCGAUCCCCAGCAGCAAGGCCACGCCGGAAAGCUGACUGCAAGCCCUCGCCCCCCCCCCCUCUGGACCGGUGGGGGUCAUCCCGGUCCACCCCCAAACGACUACUGGGCGAAGCAAUGGGCCAAUACAGGCUCCGUGGAGCCCAAAAGCUACCGUCCCUGCGACCACCAAGAUGGCGGAAGCCUUUCGCAUCGCCGACACGUCUAACACAUGGCGGGAAACUGAGAUGCGACUAAACAGUAUAUUCACUGCUUUCUGGGAGUCCCUAGAAGCCCACAUGAGGGGCUCGGAGCCUGAAGAGAUCCCCAGACUUCGCCACAGGGUACUCCACAAGACGCCAGACGGGGAAAAACAGCAGCGUAACCCCAACGGCAGACGCAGCAAAAGGAUGACACUUACCCAAACCAGCAGGGGCAGAGGCAGGACACACAACCCAAAAAAGAGGAUGCUGGAAGGCGGCGGGUGGUCAAACACCGGCAUCUCCAAGGCAAGGCGGGGAAGCGGAGGGAACCGCCGAAGACAAGCACAAGACCACCCCAAACAAGGCAGGUGAAGCUACACUCAGCACCCACAGCAACUCAGAACAGCCCAGGGGUUCUUAGCACCCACACGCCAAGGAGAUCGCACCAGCUGCACCACCUACAGCAGGGGGUACCCACCCAGCCCCGUCAAGGCAUCGGCUGACCCCAAAGGGACUGAGACUCUAACCCAGAUAGUAUCAUCAGACACAUAACUGUUUUUGCCCCACUGGAACUCACACGAAUGUCUGAUGACAUAUAUCACUUAUUUCGUUUCCUUACUAUGUUCAGUUUUGCUCCUUAAAAAUCCCAUCACUCGCAGCCAAAAUGGAGGUCUGCAUAUUAAGCUAAGAUGCUAAUGUAGCUAGGGGGUUUUACUUUUUACUUUUAACUUUUACUUUUCAAAUCAGUGUUUUCACCUUAUGCUCCACACAGUUAACCCUCUAGCACUGUACUUAUCUAGUUUGUAUACUUUUCAUAAAAUGCGCAGAUUAAGCCAACAAGUUCAACUGCAAUUUGUAAUCAAUAGUAGUCUAUGCUUUGUUUGAGCAUCUAUAUUCAAAAAAUGUGCACUACUUUAAAUGCCAUAAUUCUAAAAUCAAUGUGUUAUGACCACGCUUAUGUAUGUUAUUGUGGCAGAGUAAGCCGCUAUGUUAACUCUUGCACGCAAAAAAUAAAGAAUUUAAAAAAAAACAAUCGGGUCAAGUUAUUUUUCUGUAUUGUUUAUAACAUUGUUCUGUGAAGAAGAGACUUGCUUCUCUGCAGACACAAAUUCACACUUUUGAAAACUGAAAAUAUAAUCAUCUGUGAUAUCUUUAAGAUCACUGAUGGUCAACCCAUAUCCUGUGUGCACUUGUGGUCGGCUUGACCCUUAAAUAUGGCCCAUGAAAACAACCGUCAAAUAUAUACUAAUAGUGCGGUGUAGUAACUUGUCAUUGAGAGCUGAGCUGCUGUAACUGGAAAAGCUCACGUAAAUAUAUUUUAGAGACUAACAUUUAGGCAGUAAGUCAUAGCACUUCUUAUACUUGGCUAAUCCAAACACCUCACCAAGGCACCUCUGGUUAUCUAAUAACAUCUGGUUUUACUGUAUAUCUCCGGUCCGGAGUCCUUGUAAGGUCUGGUAUGCAUCCUUCAGAUGCCUCGCUGAAUCAUUUUUGAUCAUGUAAUAACACCUAUACUGAUCAGGUUAUUUUAGUCAUUAGGCUAAAAAGCACUUUCCUUUAAGAGUUGUCUAUCACUCUCGAAACCAACCACUUCUGGCGUCCCGCACGGAUCACAUCAGGCAUAACAGCUAAGAUAUACAUGACUGUACCUGUUUAUAGUAGACUCUGCAAACUUAGCAACCAUGUUUUCCUUUUCUUAUCGUUCUUUUCAGUUGUUAGUAUUGUUUUUCUUAAAAGUAUAACUCCUGUGGGUACAUUGCUACAAGGGUUCAACUUACCACCACAGAACCCCUUAAAGAAUCCCCGCACAAAAUGGCCACCACGCAGCAGCGGACAGGACCAUCUAACAUAAGUCCAGCCCUACCUCCCAGAAGUAUAGAUACCCCGGUAACCACCAGCCCCAAGAGGACACUAGCGUAAAUGGCCAACCCUGACUGCUAAUUCAGACAGCCCCUUACCCCCACCACCACCCAGACCACGAUUACCUAGGACCGCACCAUGCAAAGCAGGCUCGGACAGCACUAAGCAUCAUAAUAUACGAGCAAUACCCACUAGGGAUAACCUCGUAAUAAUACCAAACGGGCAACACACUGGAGUAACCCGAUCCCCCGCCUCCACCUGACUUUAAACUCGCACACACGGUACCAUAACCACUGUGAGAGCACACACGUGGACCAGAACUGGAAACAUAGCAUGGAUCGGCUGCCCCACGACCCUCUAUCCUGGUCACAAAAAAGCAUACUGAACUACACAUAAGUUUAUGCUACAUGGGAGACCCCCACAACACCAGGCCACCUAGCCAGUAAACGCCAACAAUCAUGAAGGCGAAUGGCUACACAAUCAGGGGCAAAGGGCUGAAAUUAUUAACUCUUGUUUAAAAAUUCUUUAAUGUUUUAUAUGUAUGGUUUAAUAUAAAGCAGAAUGCCAUAUGUUACAAAAUGUUAUGUUAUGCAUAUGCAACCCACAACACCACCCCACUACUGACCCCUCCCCAACUCUAAACGGACCCAGAGAUACCCAAGGCUACAACCAGAACACCGGCUCAACCCUGAAGGGUCGGCCCGUAGACAAACACCAACAGAUCGACCAGGCCCAUCGAAAUGCCCAGCGGACCCUAACAAAGCACACCUUACAGGCUGUUACGGUUGCCUCCGGUCUUGCGGGAGGUUGGACCGAUUGGAUGUCCUGGUUCCCAAACUUGAAGAGUCGAACGCUGCUUCAAUCGGCAAAAACCUGCAGGUGUAGAACAUCCAACUAGCUAUAGCAGAGCUAGGAUUCACAGUUUCCUACAACACGAGUCGAGGCUGCGAGUUGAGGGUAAAACGAACUGACUUUUAAUGGCACACAGGCAUCACUAGUUAUGCAAAAUCCCAGGUCCAGGGACAACCCCCUCUGGACCUGAUGGGAUACAGUGAAAAUACGAGCAGUUGACCAAUAGUAAUACAAUGUAUCCUUUAAAAUUGUUACGGCCCAGCUUAGAGAUAAUGAGUCCAAUGGUUGGGACAAUGUAAUUAUCUCCAAGCGCCCAAAAUCCCACGUUUUAUUACAACAUAUAAAACUGAAUAAAAUUACAUAACUUUAUUACUUUAACAGACAUAUUUCCAAUUCCACCAUUCAUUAUGUAGCCCAGUUCUGAGCGCAGCAGAUGGACGAAUAACACUCAGAACUCACGAAUGAUAUGGCUAGUUUCGUGUUUUGUUCCGAACACAAGAUGGCGGCCAUGUUUUUAGGUUGACAGGUGGACAGUGGGACAUGGACCUAAAACCCCUGGAAAGAGUAACGGCUGAACAAUUACACGAAUACCGCUCACAGGCUGGUUGUCUUAUCUCUUCGUAAACCUGAACGGAGACCGCCAUGAAAGGGGGUACUUAACUUGCGGUUAACCGCAGCUUCAACGUUCUAAUUGAGAACACACACCAGGAUGCGGGUGGGCCUCGUUCGGAAGUCUUUCAUGAGUUCAGUUCGGUGAAUUAUUACAUGAACUAGGCCACCCGGAGAUAAUCAAUUAUGCUUGUGGUUAACCGCAGACCGCAACUUUCCGGCGGUCAAUUAGCGGCACGCUGCGCUCGUGGGGUGGUCGGUUGUUUGGUACUUUCAAAGAUGACCGGGGUUAAGUGGCGGCACACGCCAAGGGCUGGGUGGUCCGUCAUUCGUAUACACGAAUAAAUAGUUAUAACUGGUCGUGGAAUGUGUUCGUACAGUCUGAAUACCGAACAGGGUAUUGGGGAACAAAAGGGAGUACUUAUGUAACAGUUUGUAGGGUUCUUGUAACACAGACAUACUCCAACACACGACUGAUAGUGGGAGAGGACUGCAACACAGUAAACACAACAGCAAUCGAUAGAUCUGGGCAACACAAUGCCAACUCACAACCUUCUAUAAGCGACACUCACUUCUCCCAAUUCUUAACCACGCAAACGCUGAUAGACAUUUGGCGAGCCCAACACCCCUCCACACAGGACUACACCCUGUUCCAAAUUAUUAUGCAAAUUAUAUUUUUCUAAUUUACCUAAAUAAUUUAUGUAAAUAACAGUCAGCAUAAUUCUCAUGUUAUCAACUAUUAAGAGUAUAAUUCAAAUUUUAUUGAACAAACCUCCUAAUGAUAACAGUAUUUUUUUUAAACAUAAAAAACUUACAAUGCACUGUUCCAAAUUAUUACGCACAGUAAGUUUCAAAACACUUUAUAGGUGGUAAAGAACUGAAAAUUGCCAUUUGUUGUGUUUGCAGCAUAUUUACUGAAAUCAAAAGCUAUUUCAAUUGAACUUAUAACAACAUUUUAACUUUUUAAACAUUUUAACAGGUCACGUUACAUUUUAACGUAGGACCCCUUAUUUGAUAGCAGCUUCACAAGUCUUGCAUCCAUUAAACUUGUGAGUUUUUGGACAGUUUCUAUUUGAAUUUGUUUGCAAGAUGUCAGAAUAGCCUCCCAGAGCUGCUGUUUGGAUGUAAACUGCCUCCCACCCUCAUAGAUCUUUUGCUUGAGGAUGCUCCAAAGGUUCUCAAUAGGAUUGAGGUCAGGGGAGGAUGGAGGCCACACCAUGACUUUCUCUCCUUUUAUCCCCAUAGCAGCCAUUGAUGCAGAGGUAUUCUUUGCAGCACGAGAUGGUGCAUUGUCAUGCAUGAAGAUGAUUUUAUUACAGACAGCAUAGUUCUUCCUUCUGUAGCAGGGAAGAAAGUGGUCAGUCAGAAACUCCACAUACUUUGCAGAAGUCAUCUUUACGCCUUCGGGGACACUAAAGGGGCCGACCAGGUCUCUUCCCAUGAUUCCGACCCAAAACAUGACUCCACCACUGCCUUGCUGACGUUGCAGCCUUGUUGGAACAGGGUGGCCAUCCACCAACCAUCCACUACUCCAUCCAUCUGGACCAUCCAGGGUUGCACGGCACUCAGUGAACAGAACUGUUAGUCUUCAUGUAUUUUUCUGCCCAAUGCAGAAUUUUUCUGCUUGUGAGCAUUGGUUAGUGGUGGCCGAAUAUAAGGUUUAUGCACAGUUGCAAGACUCUGGAGGACUCUACACCUUGAUGUCCGUGGAACUCCAGAGGCACUAGCAGCUUCAAAUAUCUGUUUGCUUCUAUGUAAUAGUAUUUUAGCAGCUGCUCUCUUGAUCCAAUGCAUGGAUCUGGCAGAAAUCUUCCUCAAUGUGCCUUUAUCUGCACAAACCUGUCUGUGCUCUGAAUCAGCCACAAAUCUCUUAAUAGUGUGAUGAUCAUGCUUAGGUUUUCGUGAAAUAUCUAAUGUUUUCAUACCUCGUCUAUUUCACUCUUUUCGGCAGCAGAGAGAUCCUUUUCUUCCCCACAUUGCAUGAAAAUAGUGCUCUGCUUAAUAAUGUGGCAAGCCCUCCUUUAGUAGUCUUUCCUUAAAUUGGGCUCACCUGGCAAUCUAAUUAUCACAGGUGUCCGAGAUUGUUUUCAGUGAUCAAAACAGCCCUGAGACACAAUGCCAUCCAUGAGUUAAACUGAAAAACUAAAUAUUCAAUCUUUGUGACACUUAAAUAGAAUUUGCAUAAUAAUUUGGAACAGGGUGUACACCUUCUAUUCACACCCACACGACUCAUACUCCCGCAUAGACCACUUCCUGAUCUCGCCAAGUGUACUACCCCAGGUGACCGCAACCAACAUAGGCCCAACAUCCUGGUCUGACCACGCAGACAUCACGCUCACCAUAUCCUUACCUGACAUUAAACAGCCAUGGACAUAGAGACUCAACCCCCUACUCCUCCAUGACAGACAGAUAAAGGACUCCGUCGCUAGGGCCACAGCGGACUACUUUUAAUUCAAUACACCCUCGGCACCGUCCCCAAUGGCCCUAUGGGCCACACACAAAACUGUCAUCAGAGGCACUCUCAUUAGCCUCGCCACAGCAGGACCAAACACAAAAACGACCCCCUACCAACAACUCUAGCCGAACUAAACGCCACCAGAGACCUACUCAAACGAUUCACACAAGCAGACACAACCAAAGCCCUUAUGUGGAUCAAACAGAAAUAUUACGAAAAAGGAAACAAAGCUGACUCAAUGCUAGCCAGAUGGCUUAAGCAACGCAUCAAAGCCAAAAAAAUAUCCUCCAUAUGCACAAAAGAGGGUAUGCUCUGUAACUCCCCUGAACGCAUAGGCAACACGUUCCAACACUACUUUCAGGUACUUAUACAAACGUUCCCCACAACUGCAAAAGGAUCCCAUGACCCACCUAAACCACAUUGACCGCUUUUUACAACAUGUCACACUUCCAACACUACGUAAAGAAGCAAGACAAGCAAUAGCCGAAACCACGGUAGAAAGCAACUGCUCUGGGAUCAUGCAAACCCAAUAAAAGUCCAGGCCCUGACGGAUAUACCCUCUAUUGUAAAGAGGUCAGCCUCCUACUACUCAAACAUCUUUGCACAGUAUUCAACGCCACCCUAAAAGGAAUACACCUACCCACCGACAUGACCAUGGCAAACAUCUGCCUAAUCCCCAAACCCAACAAAGACCACACGGAACCUGAACAUUAUAGGCUCAUCUUGCUCCUAAAUGUGGACCUAAAAAUCAUGAAUAAAAUAAUGGCCAACAGACUCAACCCCUACCUAGGGGGCUUGAUCCACCCCGACCAGGUGGGCUUUAUCCCCCAUAGACAAGCCUCAGACAACACACACAGGAACAUAGACAUCAUAUAGCUAACGCAACACCGUCAAAUCCCUAAAGCCAUAAUCUCGCUAUACGCUGAAAAAGCUUUCGACCGCCUAUUCUGGCCCUUUCUCUACCGCACCUUAGACCGAUUGGGAUUCCCAAUGGAAUUCCUCUCCUUUCUCCAAACAACCUACCACUCCCCACAAGGAGUUCUCCUCCUCCCCAACAUCACACCACCUAGGUUCCCUAUCACCAACGGCACCCAGGAAGGAUGCCCCCUCUCACCCCUUUUGUUCGCACUCUCCCUAGAACCACUCUUAUAAGCAAUACGCGCCGACCAAACAAUCGAAGGAGUAACCAUAAGGGACAAAACCUACAAAGUGUCAGCCUAUGCGGACGACAUCCUCCUCAUGCUCACUAACCCAGACCAAUCAAUAGAUUCCCUCCUAUCUCUCAUCCACGACUACACCUAGGCAGCCGGAUACAAAUUGAACUUAGACAUAUCAGAAAUCCUGCAAAUCCAACUCAAAGAAUCCUACCUAGAACACCUAAAACAUAAAUACCCAUUCUGAAUCUGCCCCUAAGCCAUCACAUACCUGGGAAUACAACUACCAGCAAACUUGACCUCCCUAUACGAAAAGAACUACACCCCACUCCUACACAAAGCACACAAUGACAUGACGCUGGGCAACACUGGGGGUCUCCUGGUUAGGUCGAUUAACAUCUAUUAAAAUUAAUCUUUUACCCCGACUCCUAUACCUCUUCCAAACACUUCCUAUCCCACUUCACAGAGCAGACACGAAAGCACUACAAACAGCUGUAAACACGUUCAUUUGGAAUGGAUGCAAACCCAGAGUCAACAGACUAACCCUCUAUGUUCCCAAAAAACAUGGCGGACUAGGGCUCCUGAACUUCUCCCACUACCAUGCAGCAGCUCACCCGGCCCAAAUACAACAAUGGCACUGCAAACCAAACGAUGGGUCAACCUAGAACACACACUGUUCGGAUGGGACCACCCAUCCCUAUACCUUUGAGUACCCAAGCCACACUGACCCCUACCCCCACAGAUGACCCCUGCCAUCACACACUCCCUGGACCUAUGGGACAAACUGCAAGACAAAUUUGAACUCUCAUCAUUUCUAUCUCCCAUGACCCCGAUUUGGAGGAAUAAACUAUUUCCCCCAGGCCUCACCCCAGCACACUUCGCACGCUUUGAACAAUGCGACAUAGUGAGAUUAGGCCACCUAUACCGAGACAACGCCGUCAUAAACUAUACAGACAUUCAAGACUCAUACUCCCUAACAACCUUUGACCACUUUAGAUACAUACAAACACGCGGCUUCGCAUCGACCCCGAUCAUAAAACAAGCAGGCACAGCACCGCUCAAUCGGUUCGAACUUGAUUGCGUGACCCACCCAAAUAGACAGGGACAGAUCUCCGACCUCUACACAACCCUCGCAACCCACGCUACCCAAGUCUCACUCACAUACAUCACAGCCUGGGAAAAAGACCUGGGCCCCCUGGAGGACACCACUGACUGGGCGGACAUCUGGGAGGCCUCACUAUCGGUGUGCUGCUGGAAACAGUGUGGAGAAACCGGCACGUUCUUCCACUGUUGGUGGACAUGUCCCAAACUGAAACCCCUGUGGCUGAGUGUCACAGCACUGAUAUCAAAGCUACUAAACAAACCUUACCCAUUGGACCCGUGGGCCCUUUUACUCUCCAAACCCUUAGAGACCCUCACCAGAGCAGAGAACAAAUUGAGCGCACAGGGCGAUUGCCGACAUCUGGUCCACGAACCGCACCUCAACUCGAUCCAUCAUCUCCAAAAAGAUACAGGAAAGCAUAUAAAUGGACAAACUCACAUCACAACUACAUGACACUCACAAACACUUCCACAAAGUCUGGGACCCCUGGCUGGAAGGGGACACCACACUACCAUGGUAGGGAAACUUAAGCAGAAAGGAAGGACACAACUACUAGGAUAAGAAUAACACAAGAGAUGGAAAGAAACCCAAACAACAGGCGCAUACGUGGCUGGUCCCCCAUGACCUCACCUACCCCCUCCCCAUCAUCACCAGGCUGGGGUCGCGUGCAGUGACGAUUUCCAACACCUAAACCACUCCUGCCCACCCCUAGCCCCUCCCAACCACUCUACAUCUACUCCCCACUACCCUCUGUUAAACUCCACAAGGCAUACUUAAAACACAGACUUGGCCCUCGCACAAGGCGCACAACACCAGAUGGACGGAACCCCUAAGGAAGAACUCAUAACCAUCCCAAGGGACGCAGGAAAACACACCUGGGAUCAUACACAAAGGUGAAACCUGCAACUAGCUCCCCAUAUGCUAAAUGGCGACCACCCGACGGACCACAGAUACCAUGACCCCCCAAAGUAGACGACUUCCCUCAUGCCACAGCAACCUAGACUCUAACAAGUUGGGAACCAGCAAGCCCGACCGCAAGGUCCACAGGCAACCUAGGACAACGCAGGCUUGAAACCAUUAACCCACAAGGGACACCCUCCAACCUACCAUGAACACUGUGUGCACGAAUGUCUGAAAACCCAUUUUCCUGUAAAAUGCUCUAUAGACUCGCCAAAUACAAAGUGUACUAACCUACGUCUUCCUUAUUUAUAAGAAUAAAAAAAAAAAGUCUAUAAUAUAGCCUGUGAUAUGUACCAAAUUUUCAAAGUGCUCCAUGACUUCCAAACCAUAGAGCACAUUUAUUCUAAUCUAGAUAGAUAGGUCCAAAAUAAUCUUGCAGAAACCUCUGGGAAAGCAUAACAUUAUGAAUGGAAUUUACCAAAAAGUGCAAACUGCAUGAAUAAGAUAUAACCCAGUAAAACAAUGCCAGCUACAUAGUCAAUGGAUUAGAAAGCCACAUUGUUCAAAAAGGAAGUGUUUAGCAUGACCCAUAAUUCCUCUUAAUCUACAGUAAUUUUAUUAAGAAUCUAGAAAGAGGAGCAAUAUGUAUCAAAACACAUGUAGCAAUAUGUACCAAAAUAUGUAUCAAACACAGUAAAUCUAUUUUAUAAUUCAAUAUAAUAGUUCCUGAUAACAGCUCACCAGAACAGCCUAUAGCUACUGAUGAUAUUCCAAAUAACAUCUGGGUUACUGCCACCUUAUCUCAAGUUGUUGUGUAAAUCCUAGUCUAGAUCAUUUUAUUUUUUUCUAUGGGAUUAAAUAUAACAUCUGGCAUUAUAGGAAAAAUUGGUGACAAUAUGGACAGCAUCUACAUUGUAUAGUUUUGUGCAGUUUUCAGUUUUGGAGUUUUUUAAAUUAACGUUGUAUUCAUUUUUUAUUCUCAUCUGUAUUCAAUUUGUAUUCCCAUGGAAUUAAUUUAUGUACAAACAUUUGUCUUUACAUUUAAAUGUAUUUUUUUUAAAACCAUAUUUACUGUGUUUAACUUUAUGCAAACAUAAUUGUAUUUUUUAAAAACUAUUUUUUAAUGUUCAUAUGUUUCAUAUUUUUCUUAAUAUUUUAGGCAUUCCCAAAAUGUCAUCCUUGAAAAGAAAACUCUGAAUGAUUGCCAGAUGUUUCCUAAAUUGAUUGUGG